GCACAAGCAGUGGAGUAUGUGGUUUAAUUCGAAGCAACGCGAAGAACCUUACCAGGUCUUGACAUCCAACUAACGAAGUAGAGAUACAUUAGGUGCCCUUCGGGGAAAGUUGAGACAGGUGGUGCAUGGUUGUCGUCAGCUCGUGUCGUGAGAUGUUGGGUUAAGUCCCGCAACGAGCUUAACCCUUGCUAUUAGUUGCUACGCAAGAGCACCCCAAUAGGACUGCCGUUGACAAAA
rnacentral:rRNA from 1 species